GACAGCUCGGGGUGUUUCAAAACAGCCUUAAGGACAUCGCUCUGAAGUUUGCUGUCUACAUCAGAGAUGUUUGAGAAAGCCACUGAAAUCAUGAAGAGAAAAUUAAUCUAUUAGUUUUCUAAAGAGAUGCCAGAAUAAUUUUGCUAUGUGAAGAUGAACUCCUGAAAUGGGAACCUAUUUGGAGAAUUUAUCUGACAGAAGCAAUAGGACUUCAGCUUGAGGACCUAGACCAGCCCAAAUGAAGCAGUACGGCAGGGAUGGGACUGGCAUCAUCGGCACCCGGAGUCUUCUGCACUUCACAAAGUUACGCAUCUUCUUCUGCAUUUCUUCAAGUACAGAAAACUGGCAACCCGUGUGUCUCUUCAUGUCCUGCAGAGCAAUUAAAGGACAGCCAGCAUUUUCCUCUGCGUGCCACCAGCCACAUCAUUUCAUUCACUGAAGUAGCCGAUGGUGAGAUUAGGCAAAUACUUUGACUUUGCCCCUGCCUUUUGUGGUUGCCGUACCUCUGAAGAUGCCAUUCACCUCUAAUUACAAGUCUGUUGAAAUCAUGCAGAGAAGGAACAGUGUAAGUCAUUAGCCCUCCUAAAUGAAUGUGCAGCUGAGUAGCUAACAAAGGGAUUAACACUUGACAGCAAAAGCGUUGCAUGCUGAAGGAGAGGGUCACUGGGUGACUGCCUAUUACACAGAAAUAAUUGCUAUCCAAUGCUGAGAGAAACCGAUGGCUGCAGGCUGUGUUUACUGCACAGAAAUGCAUUUUUGCUGUCAGUUCUUACCCCCCUGCAUAAUCCGCCCUUGCAUAAAAUAGGGAGAAGGCCUAUUUUGGCCAGGGCAUGGUGGGAAGAGGCAAUGGAAGUACAGGGAACUGAAGCCCAAGAAAAUUUGGUAGGAAUCAUCCCGUUGAACAGAAAACUUUC
rnacentral:lncRNA from 1 species